AGAGAUUUUAGUAAAAUAUAUUACACCACUUUGUCAAGGUGGAAUUAUGGGUUAAAUCCCCGUAUGUCUCUA
rnacentral:tRNA from 1 species